rnacentral:tmRNA from 1 species
UUCGCCUACGCGACGGCUCGCGGCUAACCCCGCGUCCCUCGCCUAGUGCGACGUUUGCUCUCUCCCGGCGCUUAGAGCGCGAGAGCAGGCGGAAUCUUCUCUAAGCUCGGCGACCCUGGUGCCCACUUGGCUCGCUUAAACUUCGGGUUCGCAGUGGAGUGGUUUUGUUUCGAUUCUUCGCACCCACUGCUAGACACUAAUCGAAACUAUGCGUCGUAGAAGCGCUUUCAUUGCCAGAUUCGGACGCGGGUUCGAUUCCCGCCAUCUCCACAA